UACGUAGGGGGCAAGCGUUGUCCGGAAUCAUUGGGCGUAAAGCGCGUGUAGGCGGUUCGGUAAGUCCGCUGUGAAAGUCGGGGGCUCAACCCUCGGAUGCCGGUGGAUACUGUCGAGCUUGAGUACGGAAGAGGCGAGUGGAGUUCCUGGUGUAGCGGUGAAAUGCGCAGAUAUCAGGAGGAACACCAAUUGCGAAGGCAGCUCGCUGGGACGUUACUGACGCUGAGACGCGAAAGCGUGGGGAGCAAACAGG
rnacentral:rRNA from 1 species